ACUUUCACUGGAGGCUUGGAAGAGCCUCCAGGGCUUCCUGGAGGAGGUGUUUGCCCUCAAUGAAAACUAGGUCUAUCCAGGGUCUGUUGCUGCCUACAGCCAGCCAGAGCAGAAGCAGAGAGACGGGCGGAGGCAGCUACAGAGGUGACAGAUCACCUCAGCUGUCCCUGAUCCUGUUUCUUCUUGGCCCCUGGCCCUCCUCCUGCUCUUCCAGGAAGUCUCUGCUCCAAGGGACUUGUACCAGGAAAGCAGAGUUCAGAUAUGAAGGCUCCUAGCCACCACCUCCAGCCUGGUCAAUCGCGGGCAUCUUCCUCCCCAACCCCGCAGUUUGGAAAAGUGUCCACUAGGUGGCGAUAGAACGAUGACCUCCUCAACUCCAUCGGUUACGUUAGCAGACGUUUGCAGGUCGGAGGCUCUGUACAAGGCUGUCGGGAAGGACCAGCUGACAGAGCAGUGAGGC
rnacentral:lncRNA from 1 species